GACGAGCGCUGGCGGCGUGCCCAAUACAUGCAAGUAGAACGCUGAAGAGAGGAGCUUGCUCUUCUUGGAUGAGUUGCGAACGGGUGAGUAACGCGUAGGUAACCUGCCUGGUAGCGGGGGAUAACUAUUGGAAACGAUAGCUAAUACCGCAUAAGAGUAGAUGUUGCAUGACAUUUGCUUAAAAGGUGCAAUUGCAUCACUACCAGAUGGACCUGCGUUGUAUUAGCUAGUUGGUGAGGUAACGGCUCACCAAGGCAACGAUACAUAGCCGACCUGAGAGGGUGAUCGGCCACACUGGGACUGAGACACGGCCCAGACUCCUACGGGAGGCAGCAGUAGGGAAUCUUCGGCAAUGGACGGAAGUCUGACCGAGCAACGCCGCGUGAGUGAAGAAGGUUUUCGGAUCGUAAAGCUCUGUUGUAAGAGAAGAACGAGUGUGAGAGUGGAAAGUUCA
rnacentral:rRNA from 1 species